rnacentral:rRNA from 1 species
UACAGAGGUCCCAAGCGUUGUUCGGAUUCAUUGGGCGUAAAGGGUGCGUAGGCGGCGCGGUAAGUCGGGUGUGAAAUCUCGGGGCUUAACUCCGAAACUGCAUUCAAUACUGCCGUGCUUGAGGACUGGAGAGGAGACUGGAAUUUACGGUGUAGCGGUGAAAUGCGUAGAUAUCGUAAGGAAGACCAGUGGCGAAGGCGGGUCUCUGGACAGUUCCUGACGCUGAGGCACGAAGGUCAGGGGAGCAAACAGG